GACGGGACCCGCACAAGCGGUGGAUGAUGUGGUUUAAUUCGAUGCAACGCGAAAACCUUACCCACCUUUGACAUGUACGGAAUCCUUUAGAGAUAGAGGAGUGCUCGAAAGAGAACCGUAACACAGGUGCUGCAUGGCUGUCGUCAGCUCGUGUCGUGAGAUGUUGGGUUAAGUCCCGCAACGAGCGCAACCCUUGUCAUUAGUUGCUACAUUCAGUUGGGCACUCUAAUGAGACUGCCGGUGACAAACCGGAGGAAGGUGGGGAUGACGUCAAGUCCUCAUGGCCCUUAUAGGUGGGGCUACACACGUCAUACAAUGGAUGGUACAAAGGGUCGCCAACCCGCGAGGGGGAGCCAAUCCCAUAAAGCCAUUCGUAGUCCGGAUCGCAGUCUGCAACUCGACUGCGUGAAGUCGGAAUCGCUAGUAAUCGUGGAUCAGAAUGUCGCGGUGAAUACGUUCCCGGGUCUU
rnacentral:rRNA from 1 species